rnacentral:lncRNA from 1 species
CCCACUUCCCAAAUUGCCACCUUUAAAUUUGCCUCCAUUUCCCAAAUCACACCCACUCUUUGGUCACCCAUUCCCUCCAUUCCCACACAAGGUCUUCCCUCCUUUCCCACCUAAAGUCUUCCCUCCAAAAGUACCAAUCUUUAAGAAGCCUCUUCCCCCACCAGUCCCAAUUUACAAGCCUCUUCCCCCACCAGUCCCAAUUUACAAGCCUCUUCCUCCACCAGUCCCAAUUUACAAGAAACCUCUUCCUCCACCAGUUCCAGUUUUACAAGAAGCCUCUUCCUCCACCAGUUCCAGUUUACAAGAAGCCUUUGCCUCCUCCAGUGCCAAUCUACAAGAAACCACUUCCACCAAAGCCACCGAAAAAAGUUUGUCCACCAGUUCCUGUGUUCAAAAAGCCACUUCCACCACCAGUCCCCACUAUACAAGAAGCCACUUCCACCACCAGUUCCCAUAUACAAGAAGCCACUUCCACCACCUGUCCCCAUAUACAAGAAGCCACUUCCACCACCAGUUCCCAUAUACAAAAAGCCACUUCCACCACCUGUCCCCAUAUACAAGAAGCCACUUCCACCACCAGUCCCCAUAUACAAAAAGCCACUUCCACCACCAGUCCCAACUUUCCAAAAGCCACUUCCACCUCCCAUCCCAUUUUACAAGCCAAAGCCACAUCCAUUCUUUAAGCCUCACCCUCCAUUGCCAAAGAUUCCUCCAUUCUUCAAGAAACCACCACUCCCACCAUUCAUUCCAAAACACCCUCUUCUUCCCAAGCUUCCUCCUAUCACCAAAAUCCACCCAAAAUAUUACCCCCACCCAAAGCCCAAGUUUCCUCAUAUUCCAAAAACCCACCCAAAAUACUUCCCCCACCCAAAGAUUGGCAAGUUACCACACCUGCCACCUUUGGUUCCUCAAUAUC